UUACCCAAAUGCUAAAAAGUGCUCGGAUGCUCCCUGUCCAUCUGAGCACUCCUUUUGUGUCCGUCCGAUGCACUUGAUCAAAGCACGCGUGGAGCUUGGUUUCCGACAGAUUUUCCCCUGAGGUCCCUUGAGAUAGAACCGGUCAACUCUUAUCCAUCGCGUUCCCAUCCCCUUCCUCCCGCAUCGUGUCGUCUCCCCAUCUCCACUCCCAUGGCGGCUCUACUGGUCAAAUCGGGCUACCAGCGCCGCCCCGUAACUUCAGCCGCCUGCUCUCCCGCCGCCACCCAACAUUGCCUCCCUUUCUCUAAUCCGGCGCCAUCCUAACCCUGGUCAGCCGCUUCCUCGACUCCUCGCCGCCGCAAUCCUAGUAGCAACCCUAGCUGCCGGCCCUUCCCGCGUUCGCCUCCUCCAGCAGGUCUCCGCCGGCGGUGUCCCCAACCUGAUCCAGGCGCCUCUACCCCGACCUCCUCCUCAAGCAGCUCCGGCCGGCAACCUCGACCUCCCACUCGUCCCGCAUCACCAGCUCAAGGUGGGGUCAUCCCGCAUCCGGCCAAGGCACGUGCUGCUUCUGCACUCCGUUCAGGGCAAACUGCUUGAAUGAAUCAUAGUAUGUCAAUUCAUGGAGUUCGCAUGUUCUAUUGUACUUGUAGAAUUGUGUAAUUGGAAACAAUUGCUGAACAAGUGCCCCACGUACCCGUCCCUGUCGCCUCCAGAUGUGGACAGAUCGAGACUGAAGAAGUCGAAGCUCGGCCGCUCAGCCUCUGCUCCCACGUUCGUCUCCGGUGGCAUUGGGCCUCCAGGCGGGUCGUCCCCGCUGAGGCGCAGAUCUGGAUCCCAUGGUUCCUCCUCGCGCCCUUCGACGACGCUGCGCCGCGCCAGCGUGCUUCGCGACUGGCCGAUGUGUUCUCUGUGACUCUGUCGCAAGAGAGAUUUUCUGGAGAACCUGCGGCGGGUGCUCUCCUAAUCUCCUACGAGGUAUGGGACAAAUGUCAGGCCGGACGCUGUGCUUAACAAGGAGCGGAAGAACAGAGCCGAUAAGAAGGUGUAUUGUGCAUAGUUAAACGACACCAUUUCAGUAUUUCGACAUAACAUGCUUCAAACUUCUAGUGUUUGCAACAGGGGCAGGUAAAGGAUGCACGGCAGCGGGUUCAGAACCAACACUCGGAAGACGCCGGGACAAGAACGCCUAGGCAACAACCGUCAACUUUGGACAUCCAGCCGUCAUUCCUGACCCGAGUGCGGCUGCACCCUAGAAUAACGGCUGUAGCUACUGUAGUCACACUUGGGGUUUCCGAUAUGCAACUGAGUUUGUUUCCAAAAGGUUUCUCUUUGUUGCAUGAAACUUGGGUUUUCCUGUUUAUCGAAGUUGAUGCGGGUUUGCUAUAUGUUGUAUGGGCAUGCGGACUUCUGAAUCUAACUUAGUUGCUAUAAGGAUUGUUCUUGUUAUCCA